GGUGGUGUGACUUGCCCAGCCCACUUCAUAAGGGUGGCAGAGACAUCAGGAGAUCUUGGACCUCUGUUUCCCAUUCCAGCAGAAGAACAAGUGGAUGCUGCAGGUAACAACAAUUAGAUACUUAAUUGAGGAACUCCUCCUUCUCUAAAGUAAGCAUGAACACCAGCCUCCUCAAACUACUGGGGGAUGCAGUGGAAGAACAGAGGCAUCUUCCAGAAGAUCUGUGUGUCUUCAUCUAUGUUAUGGCCCAUUGCUCAAGGAUGGAACACAAUGACACCUGAGGUGAUGAGGCCACCUGGAAAGGCAGCUGGGCUGGGGCUGUGCCCCCUCAGGUGAGUGGGGAGGUAGCCCUGAAAACAGCCAUGUAAAACACAAAAAAAACCAA